UCGGGCGUGGUGUACGGAACACACUUCUUCAUCUUGAUCCAUAGCACCCCCAGUGCAGGAGAGACCCAGGUUCGAUUCCUGGCGCCCGAA